GACGAACGCUGGCGGCGUGCUUAACACAUGCAAGUCGAACGGAAAGGCCCUGCUUUUGUGGGGUGCUCGAGUGGCGAACGGGUGAGUAACACGUGAGUAACCUGCCCUUGACUUUGGGAUAACUUCAGGAAACUGGGGCUAAUACCGGAUAGGAGCUCCUGCUGCAUGGUGGGGGUUGGAAAGUUUCGGCGGUUGGGGAUGGACUCGCGGCUUAUCAGCUUGUUGGUGGGGUAGUGGCUUACCAAGGCUUUGACGGGUAGCCGGCCUGAGAGGGUGACCGGCCACAUUGGGACUGAGAGACGGCCCAGACGCCUACGGGAGGCAGCAGGGGGGAAUAUGGCGCAAUGGGCGGAAGCCUGAUGCAGCAACGCCGCGUGCGGGAUGACGGCCUUCGGGUUGUAAACCGAUUUCGCCUGUGACGAAGCGUGAGUGACGGUAAUGGGUAAAGAAGCACCGGCUAACUACGUG
rnacentral:rRNA from 1 species